AUUGAACGCUGGCGGCAUGCCUAACACAUGCAAGUCGAACGGGGCAGCAAUGCCUAGUGGCGGACGGGUGAGGAAUACGUAGGAAUCUGCCCUUAAGUGGGGGAUAACCAGGGGAAACCCUGACUAAUACCGCCUGAUCUCUUCGGAGCAAAGAGGGGGACCGCAAGGCCUCUCGCUUCUGGAUGAGCCUACGUCUGAUUAGCUAGUUGGUAGGGUAAAGGCCUACCAAGGCAACGAUCAGUAACUGGUCUGAGAGGAUGAUCAGUCACACCGGAACUGAGACACGGUCGGGACGCCUACGGGGGGCAGCAGUGGUGAAUAUUUGACAAUGGGCGCAAGCCUGAUCCGGCAAUGCCGCGUGUGUGAAGAAUGCCUUCGGGUUGUAAAGCACUUUAGCCUGGAAAGAAAAAACUUUGGUUAACACCCAAAGUCUUGACGGUACCAGGAGAAUAAGCACCGGCUAACUCUGUGCCAGCCGCCGCUGUAAAAC
rnacentral:rRNA from 1 species